rnacentral:rRNA from 1 species
GUCAAGUCAUCAUGGCCCUCACGUCCAGGGCUACACACGUGCUACAAUGGGCGGUACAGAGCGGAGCGAAGCCGCGAGGCUCAAGCGAAUCGCAAAAAGCCGCCCGUAGUCCGGAUUGAAGUCUGAAACCCGACUUCAUGAAGUUGGAAUCGCUAGUAAUCGCGCAUCAGCAUGGCGCGGUGAAUACGUUCCCGGGCCUU